UACGAAGGGGGCUAGCGUUGUUCGGAUUUACUGGGCGUAAAGCGCACGUAGGCGGAUCGAUCAGUCAGGGGUGAAAUCCCAGAGCUCAACUCUGGAACUGCCUUUGAUACUGUCGAUCUGGAGUAUGGAAGAGGUGAGUGGAAUUCCGAGUGUAGAGGUGAAAUGCUUAGAUAUCGUCAAGAACACCUAUUGCGAAGGCAGCUAACUAAGCUUUAACUGACGCUGAGGCACGAAAGUGUGGGGAUCAAACAGG
rnacentral:rRNA from 1 species